UGGGGAAUAUUGCACAAUGGGCGCAAGCCUGAUGCAGCAACGCCGCGUGAGGGACGACGGCCUUCGGGUUGUAAACCUCUUUUAGUAGGGAAGAAGCGAAAGUGACGGUACCUGCAGAAAAAGCACCGGCUAACUACGUGCCAGCAGCCGCGGUAAUACGUAGGGUGCGAGCGUUGUCCGGAAUUAUUGGGCGUAAAGAGCUCGUAGGCGGUCUGUCGCGUCUGCUGUGAAAACCCGAGGCUCAACCUCGGGCCUGCAGUGGGUACGGGCAGACUAGAGUGCGGUAGGGGGGAAAUGGAAUUCCUGGUGUAGCGGUGGAAUGCGCAGAUAUCAGGAGGAACACCGAUGGCGAAGGCAGUUCUCUGGGCCGUAACUGACGCUGAGGAGCGAAAGCGUGGGGAGCGAACAGGAUUAGAUACCCUGGUAGUCCACGCCGUAAACGUUGGGCGCUAGAUGUGGGGACCAUUCCACGGUUUCCGUGUCGCAGCUAACGCAUUAAGCGCCCCGCCUGGGGAGUACGGCCGCAAGGCUAAAAC
rnacentral:rRNA from 1 species